AUUGAACGCUGGCGGCAGGCCUAACACAUGCAAGUCGAGCGGAGCGGCGGACGGGCGAGUAAUGCCUAGGAAUCUGUCUGGUAGUGGGGGAUAACGUCCGGCAACGGGCGCUCAUACCGCAUACCAUCAGAUGAGUCUAGGUCGGAUUCGCUACUUGGUGGGUUAACGGCCUACCAGGGCGACGAUCCGUACCUGGUCUGAGAGGAUGAUCAGUCACACUGGGACUGAGACACGGUCCGGAGUCCUACGGGAGGCAGACGUGGGGAAAAUUGGACAAUGGGAGAAAGCCUGGUGCAGCCAUGCCGCGUGUGUGAAGAAGGUCUUCGGGUUGUAAAGCUCGUUAAGUUGGGAGGCGGUAACAACAGAAUAAGCACCGGCUAACUUCGUGCCAGCAGCCGCGGUAAGAG
rnacentral:rRNA from 1 species